UUUAAACCAAAAUGGUGGAACUUUAGCUAAAUAAGCUACUUUAUAAUAUAUUAGCUCUUAAAACUAUUUUUAAGCAAAGAAGCAUAUUAAUCAAAUAUAUUUGAAAUAGAUAAAGUUUAAUGUGUAUGGAUAAAUGCGUUAACUUGCGAAACAGAAUUUAAAAAACUUAUAUAAAAUUUAAGAAUAUGGAAAGCUAUCUAAAAUGAACAUUUAUUCUUCUUUGUAUCUGCUGCUAUUUUUCUUAUUAUACUUGGCAAUAUCUAAUGCAACGGAGAACACUACAGGUGAAGGUUUGCUUCAGAAUAAUUAUUCAACCAGUGAAAAUGUUAUAAAUUUUAAGAAGACAAAUUCUAUAAAAAAUGAAAAUAGUUUAAGAAAACAUGAGAAAUUACUAACAGACUUGAACAAUAUUAAAUUACAAACAAUAGUAAAUGGCCAAAAUGGUACAAAACGGAAUUUAGUAGAUCAUUUUGACCAACUAGAAGUUUCUGAUAUAGGAAAACCAUAUGGUGAUCCUGAUGACUAUCAAAGAAUUGGUGAUGAUAUAUACAUUAUUCGUGGGGAUGAAAGAAAAUCCUCGGUUAGAGAUGUUAAAACAAUUAAGGAAGCUUUACCAGAUACAGAAAAGUCGCUAACAGCGAUUAUUGGACACCUUAACAAAGAAGAUCGAGAACUAUUAAAUGAAAAGAGUAGCAAAAGUCAAGACAUUCUUUCAGAUGAACUUUUUGCAACACAAAAAACUGAUGAAGUUACAUUUUCUCCUAAUAUUGAAAAUAUCUCUGGUCCUGAAUUAAAUUUAUUAGGGGAUCUCCAAUCAAGUUUAAAACAGCAUGACAACAAUACUACACUAACAAUUAACAACAUAUUGGACGAAGAAUCUAAAAGGAAAGAAUUAGAAGACGAGCAAUUAGAAAAAGGUCUUGCUUCUAUAACAAAAGCGGUUGAAAAUCGAGAUAAAGAGUUCAUAAAAAAUGAUCCUUAUGCUGUCGAUCCCAAGAAAGUAAAGGAAAUGUUAACUUCUGCCGGUAUGUUUUUUAAAAAAGAUCAAACUCAAACAUCUGAUGAUCAAAAUUUAAUUGGUAAUGAUGAUGAGGCUGAUCAUCAUCAUGAUGAGAAUUAUGUUAAUCCUGAAAUUGUUGUUGGAGGUAGUCGAAGUCAUGCAAAAAAACGAAGACACAAACAUAAACUUUAUCAUCGUCGCCAUAAAAAACACAAAAGUAGCAACAUAAAUUUAAAACAAGAUAACACUAGAAUAAAACAAUACAACAUGAACCAAGAAUACGAAAAUAAAAUAAAUGACUUGAAAGAAGAGCUCAAAAAGGGUAAGAAAACAGAAUCAAUGCUUCAAGACAACCAAUUGGAUACCGGUUUUUUUAUUGCUGAAGAUAGUGAUAUUGCUAAUUUAAACAGAAGAACUGAAGAUUUUGUUGAUAAAACUGUCAAUGCUACAGUUGUAAAAAUUAUUGUAGCCAGUCAAAAUAAAACAGAGGAUGUAGAAAAUAGAAAAGAAACUAACCAAAAUGUAAAGGAUGAUCUAAAAAAUGCAACUGAGUCUAGCCAGAAUAUAACUGAAUAUGUAAAAAAUGCAACAGAGGCCAACCAGAAUGUAACAAGUAACAAAAGUAAGUUCGAUAAUAAAGGAAAUCAAAGUUUUUUAGAAGUCCAGUUAAACUCAAUUACACCAGACUCUAUGUUCAAAAAUAAAACAUAUUCAACAACAACAGACAAUUUGUUCAAAAAUAAAACAAAUUCAACUCAAAUAAAGCACUCUGCGUAUUUGAGUUUGGAAGAUUUAGAUUCUGAAAGUCUAUACAAUAUUCUGAAGGAUAAAUCUGCUCAAACUAAUGUUGGAAAUUAUUUGAAAAGUUAUAAAACCACACAUGUGGUUGACAUGGAGGGAAAACCUGGAGUGCAAAUUGAUCUCUAUAUAACUGAUAACAAAAGUAAAAAUGAAAAAAAAAAGCGUCGAACUGUUCGAAGCAAAACUAAUACACCUGAAAAAGUUGUUGAAAUGCAAGGCCAAAAGAAGUUCUUCCAACCUACUAUUUAUGACAAUAAUAUCGAAGAUGUUGCUUUGAGUGAUGCAAUGCCUGAUCGACAUACAUUUACUUCAGAAAAUCCUACAACUGCAUCAAGUGAAAAAUUGGACAUUACUGAUCAUAUAGGUAAUGUUCCUAAAAAAAGCAAUGACUUGCAAGAUGAACUUAACAAUGAGGAUUUAAAACACGCUGUAGAAGAUUCCGACUUGAAAGGCUUUGAUGCAAUUAAAAAUGAAAUUGCUCUGCAAGAUGCUAAAACUACUGUGGAUUUUUUUAACCAGCCUAGCUCUGCAAAACUUCUUUCAUCACAUCUUUCUUCGGGAAAUAUAAAUGAUCUGUCACAAGAUAUCAAAGAUGAUAAUGUUAAAAUGGAUGAUGAUCCUCAAAAAGUAAAAAUAAUUCUACACAUUCCUGAAUCUGCCUCAAAAGAAAAAGGGGGAGAUUGGAACACGCAAGAGGCGUUAGAUAUCUUUACAGAGCAAGCUAAAGCUUAUCUAAACGAUGAAGGCGAGAAAAAAGCUGAAGGCUCUUCUUCUAUAAAGUCUGAUUCUGAGGAUGAUGCGACGCUGCUUACAGCCAAAAAAAUAGAAGCUUUAUUAAGAGAAAAUGCUAUAAAAGAAGAAGAAUUAAAAAGAAAUGAAAGAAUUAAGCUUUUUACUGCUCUUCAUAAUGGUAUUGGAAAAAAUGAUAAUGAAAAAGCGCACUUUUUAAAUGUUUUAGAGAAUAGUUAUGCAGGUUCAUCAUCAGAACUUGCAAAUAUUAGUAAGUUUAUAAACUUAGGUACUUUAAAAAAUUCUCAAUCCUCAGAAAAACAAGAUGAUGCAAAUAAAAUGACUAAGGGUGUUACCACAUUUUCUAAUCAAAAACAAUUGCCUAUAUCAUCACCAUUAUUGGAGCUUAUUAAAUCAGAACUCCAUUCUGGUUCUCAUGAAAGUGUUCAUAAAGAAGCUACUUCUCCUUACACUGUUCAGUCAAUGUUUAAUGAUCCGUCUGUCAAAUUAGUAAAUCCUUCUCCUGAUUUACCUACUAAUCCUGCAACUAUAAAGUUUAAUGCCCCUGGAGUAGAAACACCACUUAGAAUAAAUGGAGGAAAAGUUAUCGGUGGAAAUGUGCGUGGAGGUAAUGUUAUUGGAGGUGUGAUAUCUGGGGGAGACUUUUCUGGUGGAGAAAUUCAGGGAGGAAAAAUUGAAGGAGGAACAUUUAAAAAUGGGUUAAUGAUAGAUGGUGUUGUAAAGAAUGGAGUUGUUGAAGGAGGAAAAAUUAAGGGUGGUUUAAUUCUUGGUGGUGAUAUCAAGUCUGGACUAAUAGAAGGUGGGACUGUAAAAGGUGGUAUCAUAGAUGGUGGUACUUUAGUUGAUGGUGUUAUUGAAGGAGGAAUCUUCAAGGGAGGGACUAUACUUGGUGGAAGGUUAGUUGCAGGAGAAAUGGAUGGAGGUGUCCUAAAAAAUGGUACCAUCAGUGGUGGGGUUAUGAAAGGAGGCAUUAUUGAGAGUGGAGUUUUAGAAGGCGGGACAAUGCUAUCAGGAAUAUUGCGUGGUGGCAUUGUUAAGUCUGGAAUAAUUAAUGGGGGGACCAUUGAUAAAGGAGUUAUUGUACAAGAUAAUGCUGAGAUUGGUCCGGGUGUUGAAAUUCAUGAAGGUGUUGUGAAAGGUGGGAAAAUAUCAGUCAAUAUUGUUCCUCAAGUUUCUAGUCCUCCAACACUGCCAAAUCCGGCAACUACAGUGAAAUCUAAUAUGUUUAGCGUAGAGGUUGUAUCAAAACAGUUGGAUGAUCACAAAGAGGAAAAAAAGGAAGUUGUAGACUUUAAAAAACCACCAGAAGUUCACAAUCAUGAAGACACUGAAAAGCCAAAAAAGAAUGUUCCAAUUCCAACAAAAAAACCAAUGGAAACGCAUGUGAAACACAGUAGUGCAGCUCCGACAUUAAGACCAAAACAAUCGUAUAGACCUACAGAAUAUUUGACAAAGUCUAAAUCUACUCAAUCAUAUAGAACUGCUGUGAAGAAAACAAAUCACCCUUCUUUUUCAGGUAAAAAGAAAUUAAUACAAAAAGCACUUUUGUAUAACAAAGAUAAUCCCAAAGAAAGAAAAGAAAUUAACUUAAACAACAUAAAUGAUGUAAAACAGUUGCUAGCCAUUUUAGAAAAAGGUUCAACAAAUAGCGAGAAAAGAAAGGUACAACCCAUUGAAACUUCUAAAAGCGAUGAAUUAAAAAAAAAAGAAGAACUUCUAAAAAAAACUCAGUUAACUAUUCCACGAAUACGAGAAGAGCAAGCAUUUGCACAUUGGAGUCUAACAAAAAUAUCAAAAAAUUUAAUUGAAGGAGAUUUUGGUCCUAGUCUACAUAUUUAUGGAGGAGUGUCAAUACAUAAUGGUCAUGCAAUAUUAGAUGGCAUUCAUGGAUACCUUGAUGCUGGUGACUAUCAAGGAGAAUGUUUUAGCGAUCCAGAAGUGUGUGAAACUGGUUUUACAAUCCAAAUGACAGUCAAAGUUUACAGAGAUAGUGUUUUUAACAAAACAAAACUAUUUUUAUUGGAUUCAGGUGCAACAAGCACAGAUUCAAGAGGAAUAAGUAUAUUUGUUCAGGAUGGUAGAAUUGAAGCAAUGGUAUCCACAAGAGAUACUGUUUGGUGUCUUCGAAAAAUAUUAGAACCCUACAUUGAAAAAUGGAUUUCUCUGACACUUACAUGGAGAAAUGAUAAAGGUUUGUUUCUUUACAUUAACUGUGCCUUAUUUGAUAAAUCUAACUCACAUACACCAAAUGAUUGCGAAAAUUGCCAAAAUUGUCAUAAAACGGAUCGAGCAACACGUAUGUUCUUUGGUCGACCAAAUAAAGGACCACAUUUCAAAGUCACUCAUAUGGCUCUUGGAGAAGUUAGUUUGUAUAAUACCUUUUCUGACAAGCAAGAUGUUGAAAUGAUUUGUGGAGCAAAAAAUAACCAAGAUUUAACAGCUUCCACUAAUAUAUAUCAAUAUACUCCUUCACAAUAUUUGGCUCCACCUCAAUAUAUUGCUCCACCACAAUAUGUUGCUCCCCCACAAUAUAUUGCUUCUCCACAAUAUAUUGCUCCUUCACAAUAUAUGACUUCUUCACAGUAUACACUCCCAUCAAUUCUUCAUAAUCAACCUGUGGAACCUGUUCCACAAACUAAUCCAGUUUUAUAUAAACCACAACCAGCAUUAUUUAUCAGUCCUCCUCAAUAUUCUUCUCAUGUAAAACCUUCAAAAAUCGAUAAUCCUCCAGAGUGGUUAAAACCAACUUUGAAAAAAAAGAAUCACAAGAACUAUGAAUCAAGAAUGUUAAAUCCUUGGCCAACACCAGCUAAUCUAAUCCCUGUAAAAAAGACAACAUUAUCAGCAGUUAAACAUCCUUUAAUUGAUUAUAAUGCAGAUAGAAGAUCAUUUUCAAGAUUAGAUCACCAUAAAAUAGAUGGAGGAUAUUCACAAUGGUCUGGAUGGUCUGAAUGCUCACAAACAUGUGGAGAGGGUUUACAAACAAAUAUGCGUUAUUGCAAUCAGCCUAUUCCAAUGAAUGGAGGAAGAUCUUGUGAUCAUCGUGGACCUGAUCAUAAAAUUCGUAUCUGUAUGAAUCCAUACUGUCCAGGUAAAAAAAAAAGAAUCUGUUCCAGUUAUGAGACUUGAGUAUGGAACCAAAAAAUCAAGUGUUCCGUUUAAAAGUGAAGAGACAAUGGUGAUUGUGGAUGGAGAAAAGCAAUCAUUCGAUCAAUUGGAAACAGCAUUUGAGCAGCUAAAGCAUUGACCAUAAGAAUUAUCUGGAAACAGCUUUUUUGGCACCUAAAGCAUCGAUCACAAGGAAUAUCGGAAAUUACUUGGAGCAAAUAAAACAUUGGCUAAAAGAAGGAUCACGGGUUUUUGAAGAGAAAAAACAUUACAGAAGUAUCACAUCAAUGAAUUUUUAAAGUUCUAUAUUGGAAAAUAUAUGGGAUUUUCAAAAUAUUUAGUUGUUUCACAGAAAAUUACCAGAAUGAUAUAAAAGCAUAUUAACACUUUGUACGCUAUAUGAAUACUGUUUAUCAAUUUUGUAGAGUAUUGCUUCAGAUUUGACAACAUUUUUAUGUUAAUCAAGACUGAAAUUCUCAGUUCUAUUUCAUCAGAUAAAAUUAUUUUGAACUAUAUCAGUUUCUAAUCGGACUUUUUAAUAUGCAACUCUGAACUAUUUUAUAUACUAUUAAAUUUCUAUUUCUUAUUGGGACGUCCAUAGGCAUCAUUAUCACCCCUCUACCCUUCAUUAACAACUGUCAGUUUUUUAAUAACAAAACUUAAAUAUGCAAAAACAAAUUGACGUAACUUGAUGUCAAUUUAUUGAAUAGUGUCAGUAACAGUCAUUUUUCUUCCCGCUUCCGCCCUUUUUUUUAUUUAAUUAGUUUAUGGGCGUCUCCAUGCCAUUUUUAUACCAUAUUUCUAUAAUUUUUUUAAAGUUAAAAAGGAAUAAUUUUUUAAUUAAAGUUAAAAAAGUUAGAAGUUUUUAAAAAUGUUACGGAUUUUUAAUAUUGCAAUUCAAAUUAGAAUAGCAUUAAACGCACGCUUCAUGUUACAUUAAACUCACGUUACUUGUUAAACCCGAAUGCGAUUGUAUUUAAGUAGAAAUUUAAACUAGUGUUUUUCGUAAUGCUUUUUUAAACUAUCAUUGUUUUUUAAAAUAAUUGUAUUUUA